rnacentral:rRNA from 1 species
CCUACGGGUGGCUGCAGUGGGGAAUUUUGGACAAUGGGGGCAACCCUGAUCCAGCCAUUCCGCGUGAGUGAAGAAGGCCUUCGGGUUGUAAAGCUCUUUCGCAAGGGAAGAAAACUUACUCAAUAACACUGGGUGAGGCUGACGGUACCUUGAUAAGAAGCACCGGCUAACUACGUGCCAGCAGCCGCGGUCAUACGUAGGGUGCGAGCGGUGAUCGGAAUUACUGGGGGCGAAGCGUUAGGUCAGGUGUGAAAUCCCCGGGCUCAACCUGGGAACUGCGUUUGAAACUACAAGGCUAGAGUAUGGCAGAGGGGGGUAGAAUUCCACGUGUAGCAGUGAAAUGCGUAGAGAUGUGGAGGAAUACCAAUGGCGAAGGCAGCCCCCUGGGUCAAUACUGACGCUCAUGCACGAAAGCGUGGGGAGCAAACAGGAUUAGAUACCCCUGUAGUC